UACUAUACAUUCAGAUCAGGAUAAUAAUAUAUACCUUUCUGUUCAUAACAAUGUGUUCCAAUUGAAAAUUUUAAUUUAUGGUCCACUUCCUGUACGUUUUCCAUUUUCUUGUUUACACACUAGUGCCAGUGCAUAUUUGCAUUGAAUCCAGUAAAUCUAAAAUGAAGUGGGACAUAAAUUAUACUGCUUUUCAAACAGAAAAAUGUAUACUAUGUUUCAAAGUGUCCCUUUUGAUACAAAUUGAAAGCAGAUUUAGCAGUUCAACUCUCCACUCAUACACAUAGCAAGUUUACUCCAAAUCAUGACUCACAUAAAACCUAUAAAUAAUGGAACGUAUUCUUAUGUAGAACUUUAAUUGUUAUGAGUUUGGAAACAGCUACGAUACUUACUUAAUCUUCGGAACUAGAUCUUGAAAAUCAGAGGGAUGGCAAACUGCUACUGAAAAAAGUUUAACUUUUACAUACCUUUUAACGUACUGGGUAGCCUUUUGCUGUCUGUUAAUAAAGGUUUACAGCUUGUUCGAAGAAUUUUGUCUGGCAACAGGUGUAUUUUCGUUGGAGACUUUCUUUUAGCCUUUGGAGAAUUUAUUCUUUCCAAAGUUUUAUGAGGAAGAUUCAAUGUUGGAAUCGAGCCCAGUUUUAAUGAUUUCUUAUUAGUUGAUCCACUCAUUUCAAAACAAUCGGAUGUAAUGUGUCUUUCACAAAUAGAUGCUUUAAAGUUACCAAACAUGAAGAAUGAGGGCUCCAUGCAACUCAAAUCCAUUAUUACAUCAUAUAACUAUAGGAAACAGAAAUACAACUUACGAUUCUCUAUCCAACAUGUUUUUGAUACGGUCCCCUUUUGUUGGAUCCCGGUACUAACUUUUGGUAUUUUUUCCUCUGGAGUCUUUGCAAACUUGGGGUGACAAAUGACAAACAGGCUCAUAAAUGGGGAAUCCUGCAUAAGUGUAAUGUUAUUAUUGCUGUUACUUGAUACAACAGUUAGACGCUGGUAUCCUGAGAUCUUCUACUAAAAAUAAUCGUGUAAAAUCAUACAAAUAUACAUAUCGAAAUAUGCAUUCUUACUGUAACAACAACUUU